AACGAACGCUGGCGGCAUGCCUAACACAUGCAAGUCGAACGAGACCUUCGGGUCUAGUGGCGCACGGGUGCGUCACGCGUGGGAACCUGCCCUUAGGUUCGGAAUAACUCCCCGAAAGGGGUGCUAAUACCGGAUAAUGUCUUCGGACCAAAGAUUUAUCGCCUUUGGGUGGGCCCGCGUUGGAUUAGCUAGUUGGUAUGGUAAAAGCCUACCAAGGCGACGAUCCAUAGCUGGUCUGAGAGGAUGAGCAGCCACACUGGGACUGAGACACGGCCCAGACUCCUACGGGAGGCAGCAGUGGGGAAUAUUGGACAAUGGGCGAAAGCCUGAUCCAGCAAUGCCGCGUGAGUGAUGAAGGCCUUAGGGUUGUAAAGCUCUUUUACCCGGGAUGAUAAUGACAGUACCGGGAGAAUAAGCUCCGGCUAACUCCGUG
rnacentral:rRNA from 1 species